UUCCAGCGCUGCGUCGCUCUACCAUGAGUUGAACAUUUAGUAGCUUAUUACGCACAUGAAGUCGGAAGAAGGCUGAAGGUGACAACAUAUUUUGAGUGAAAGACUGAAGCAUGUGCUCGUGGAUCAAGACGGAGGUUUAAUUAAAAAAGGCCGCGUUUUGAUACACUCUUGUGCAGUUGGGAGCGCUCCUAGUUGGACUUUUUCCCAGUUGGAUGAGGACUCAAGGUGUUUUUUUAAGGUGAAGGUGAAGGUGAAGCAUUCGCACGAGCGAAGACCUGUUCGAACAAAAACAUUCAUUUUACUCAUAGGUUUUUGCCCAGUUGUUUCGGAGUGAACCUACCUGUUGUUUUUGGACAUCUGCACAGGUUACCAGAAACGAUCCAAGAUGGAUGAGGCAGAGAAGUACCAGCAGCGGCUGCAAGCCAUCGCGGAGAAGCGCCGGCUGCAGGAGGAGCAGGAGCGAGUCAAGAGAGAAAUGGAGGAGGAGAGAGUCCGACUGCAGCAGCAAAAGAGGAAGUCUCUGAGAGACCAGUGGUUGAUGGAGGGUCCCCCCUUGUCUCCUGACAGCUCAGGUCCUCGCUCCCCUCUGUGGGGACCCCAAGCUCAGGAGAUGGAGCAGAACCUCGACAGUUUGCAGGCCAAGGCCGAGCGGUUGACGGAAGAGGUGGGGAAGCUAGCAGAGGACGGCGUGUCUGUGGUGUCGGUGAAUGACGGACUGACACAGGGCAAUAGUGAGGGCGUCCACAUCCUGGAGGACGCUGGGACAGACUCGACCCUUAAGGAAACCGUUUUGCAGAAUGGACAAGGAAAUGGAACAAUGGAGGUGGGAGCUGAGGACGACGUGAAGGCUACCUCGGUUUCCCCGGUGAUGGCUGAAGACAAGGGUCCUAAUGGCGAGGUGGCCACAGACGUGCCUGCUCUUGAGGCAGACGCCGCGCAGCCGUCUACCGAGGAACAGGGGCAGAUCCAGAGCACUCCAGAAGAAACUGUCACUAUGGCAACGUCAGCGUCGCUCUCUGAGUCAGCAGCGAAAGGGGUGGUAGGGGAGGCAGUGCCUACUUCUAAUGGACCAGCUACCAAAGCAGGUGACGGGCCUGGUGGUGGCGAUGGUGCCGUCACCAUGACGUUCCUGGGCUUCAGUGAUGCGGGGAAGAGUGAGGGUGAGGGAUUGGACGAUGACGAUGACGGGGGGGCCAUCAUGAGAGCAGAGAGAGUGAUCAUCACGGACGAGGGAGAGGAGGUGGAGGAAGAUCCCGAGGGCCAGACAGAAGCUUCUGGAGCCCCCGUGGCUGAGGCCCCCACUGACCCAGAGAACCAGGAGGCAGGGGCCACAGAGGCUGAACCCCAGGCCCCCACUGAGGCAGAGAAAGACACAGAGGCGGAGGUCACGGAGCGGAAGACUGACGCAACAGAGGAAGAGAAGAGCGGGGAGGGUGGAGAGACGCCCAGUGAAGCACAAGCAGCGCCUCAGGCUGCAGAGGCCACAGCUACUGAGGUGCAACCCCAACCUGAGCCCAGAGAGGGCGCUGUUGUGACCUCAGAGGUGCCCGUGUACUCCCCAGCUGCACCGGCCACACCCAACGCCACGGCUGAGGACGAGAGCCAGCAGCCAGAGACCAACGAGCUGAAGGAGGAGGAGGAGGGCCUGGAGGCUCCAGCCACCGCUCCCGCCCCUUCCUCCACCCCUGAGACCGUCCCCAGCUCCCCAAGCCAGUUUCAGGACGUGCCCCUGGACGAAGCGGCGGACUCCCCCGCCAAACCCCCGCGUUCAGAGCCGCAGGCGGAGCAGGAACCCCUGCUGGCCCCCAAAACGGCUCCGCAGACGGACACUUCCGCUCCACGGCGAGGGGGCGAGGGGGGGGACGCCCCCAAACGGAAAACUUGCCAGUGCUGCUCCGUCAUGUGA
rnacentral:lncRNA from 1 species